AAACCUCAGCAAGGGAGAAAAGAACAUGAGUGUUCUUAUGUAUCGACCAUUCAGAAGCUGGGCCAGUAAUAGUGAGUGGACAAUGAGGUUUGAAGGUGAAGAGGUGAAGGUUGUCGCUAACGGUUCUGGUUGGGUAGCUGCGAUUACAAGCCUCAAUUUGCUUCACAUAUUUAGCGAGGGUGGUUUACAGAAACAUGUUAUUUCCCUUG